rnacentral:rRNA from 1 species
GCAAUCAAAGAAUUAGAGAAAGAUCUACAAAAGGAAAUUAACUCUGUAAACCAGAGAUUUAAUAUUUCUAUCGAAAAAGUUAAAGAACCUUAUAGACAGCCUAACAUUCUUGCAGAAUAUAUAGCUUUCCAAUUAAAAAAUAGAGUUUCGUUCCGAAAGGCAAUGAAAAAAGUCAUUGGAUUAACUAAAAAAGAAGAUAUAAGGGGAGUAAAAGUAAAAAUUGUGGGUUGUCUCGGAGUAAUGCUACAUGAAAGAAUAGAUAAUUUUUACUAUGAAAAAACUUGGAAAUAA